rnacentral:rRNA from 1 species
GAUGAACGCUGGCGGCGUGCCUAAUACAUGCAAGUCGAGCGAACGGACGAGAAGCUUGCUUCUCUGAUGUUAGCGGCGGACGGGUGAUUAACACGUGGAUAACCUACCUAUAAGACUGGGAUAACUUCGGGAAACCGGAGCUAAUACCGGAUAAUAUUUUGAACCGCAUGGUUCAAAAGUGAAAGACGGUCUUGCUGUCACUUAUAGAUGGAUCCGCGCUGCAUUAGCUAGUUGGUAGGGUAACGGCUUACCAAGGCAACGAUGCAUAGCCGACCUGAGAGGGUGAUCGGCCACACUGGAACUGAGACACGGUCCAGACUCCUACGGGAGGCAGCAGUAGGGAAUCUUCCGCAAUGGGCGAAAGCCUGACGGAGCAACGCCGCGUGAGUGAUGAAGGUCUUCGGAUCGUAAAACUCUGUUAUUAGGGAAGAACAUAUGUGUAAGUAACUGUGCACAUCUUGACGGUACCUAAUCAGAAAGCCACGGCUAACUACGUG